rnacentral:rRNA from 1 species
UGGGGAAUAUUGCACAAUGGGGGAAACCCUGAUGCAGCGACGCCGCGUGAACGAAGAAGGUAUUCGUAUCGUAAAGUUCUGUCCUAUGGGAAGAUAAUGACAGUACCAUAGAAGAAAGCUCCGGCUAAAUACGUGCCAGCAGCCGCGGUAAUACGUAUGGAGCGAGCGUUGUCCGGCAUUAUUGGGCGUAAAGGGUACGCAGUCGGUUUAAUAAGUCGAAUGUUAAAGAUCGGGGCUCAACCCCGCAAAGCAUUGGAAACUGAUAAACUUGAGUAGUGGAGAGGAAAGUGGAAUUCCUAGUGUAGUGGUGAAAUACGUAGAUAUGAGGAGGAAUACCAGUAGCGAAGGCGACUUUCUGGACACAAACUGACGAUGAGGUACGAAAGCGUGGGGAGCAAACAGG